CCUUACGGCGGUGUGUGCAACUGACGCUGAGGCUCGAAAGUGUGGGUAUCAAACAGGAUUAGAUACCCUGGUAGUCCACACAGUAAACGAUGAAUACUCGCGGUUGGUUCGUUAGAUUCAGCCGCCAAGCGAAAGCGUUAAGUAUUCCACCUGGGGAGUACGCCGGCAACGGUGAAACUCAAAGGAAUUGACGGGGGCCCGCACAAGCGGAGGAACAUGUGGUUUAAUUCGAUGAUACGCGAGGAACCUUACCCGGGCUUGAACUGCCAGUGACUCAUGCAGAGACGCAUGUUUCUUCGGACACUGGCGGAGGUGCUGCAUGGUUGUCGUCAGCUCGUGCCGUGAGGUGUCGGCUUAAGUGCCAUAACGAGCGCAACCCUUCUCCCUGUUUGCCAUCGGGUCAUGCCGGGCACUCCAGGGACACUGCCAUCGUAAGAUGUGAGGAAGGUGGGGAUGACGUCAAAUCAGCACGGCCCUUACGUCCGGGGCUACACACGUGUUACAAUGGGCGGUACAGAAAGCAGCUACCCCGCGAGGGGAUGCCAAUCUCAAAAACCGUUCUCAGUUCGGACUGGAGUCUGCAACCCGACUCCACGAAGCUGGAUUCGCUAGUAAUCGCGCAUCAGCCAUGGCGCGGUGAAUACGUUCCCGGGCCUUGUACUCACCGCCCGUA
rnacentral:rRNA from 1 species